GCCUGGGUGGCGGAAUUGGUAGACGCGCUAGCUUCAGGUGCUAGUUGGAGCAAUCCAGUGGAGGUUCAAGUCCUCUCCCAGGCACCA
rnacentral:tRNA from 2 species